GUCAGCACCUUCGUUACUAUACUUUAUAGGAAUUGCUUACAUGCAUGUAUGUAACUGUGAGCUUUAUUGGGUGCAUUUCAUUUCAGUUUUAUGUUUACUUGGUGAUUGCAGGUAUUGUCCUUCUGUCUUGGCUACAGUGCCAAUGAAGGGUGUUCAGAAGAUGCAAUAUUAGGGCUGUUAACUUAGCUUACCAUUAUCAUAUAGUAUUUGCCUGGAACGCAUGUCAACAUAAGGUACAUAUUUGACUUGAAACAAGUUUAAAAUAUAUUUUUAUAUGUAUGUAUGUAUUUGUUGUUUAUUUUUAACAUUAAAAAGUGCAUAAUAUGCAAAAAUAUCAUCUCUAAAGUAAUUUACGUACAUUAGCAUAUAAGAAUGCUCCACUUCCAAUAGAUGACAUCAGCUCAGUACAUUUUGUACUACUAAAAAUGCUUCUCAUUUUGAAAAAUGAAUUAAUCUAAAUGACAGCCACGAGAGGGAGCAACCAGACUGAACCUGUGACCAAAGCUUUAAAGUACACACCUGCUACCAGUUACCAGUUAAGUUGUUAGUGCUAACCAAGGCUAGUGGGUAUUAGCUGGUCUUGAAUUUCUCACCAAUACAACUCAGAAUAUUGCAAAUACUAGCCAUCACAUGCAAGACUAAAAAUAUAUUCUUGCUCCACUUUUGUACAAUCUUGAGUCAUAUCAGAACUUAGCCUAAAUUGUGAAUAACAGUAAGCUAUAAUAUUAAUGAAAGUAAGUUUAGACAAUCAUCUUUGGUUAGGACCUUGGUUCAAUGAGUCAUGCCAUCCCUAUUUUGCAUAAGUGUUACCUUAUUGUAAACUUUACUUAUUAGACAAACUUUCAUAUCAAAGAAAAACUAUGUACAGUGAGGGAUGGGCAUUAUAUGGAGUGUGAAGUACAUAAUACUGAAUGAAUGACUCAAUAUCCCAUGUGUUUCCUCUCUUCCUCCAGAAUUACAAAUUCAUUUUUCUUGCAUCUCUAUUGAGACCUUCAAGGCCACACCAUAUCUUAACUGCUCUCCAUUCAUCCUGCUCUACUAUUUUCCUUUACUCUAAAAACACUUCUUUUGCAUCUAACACUCCCCUUACACUGUCUUCCACAAAUGGUACACUUUCAUAUCAAAUCCAGUAAUUUUCACCAGUCACUUCUAUAGCUUCUGUAGUAUAUAAACAUGUUUCUGUGUACUGCACAUGUCACUUGUUAAAUGUUACAUGAUAUGGAAUAUGUGUUGUCCCAAGUUAAAAAUUACUGCAUAUUCUUAUAAAGAAUAUUCUAACAUAGGUUAUCUUACUUUCACUCUUCAAAGAUUCCUCAGAGCCUUUUGAAAACACCAUGAAUGAUGCACAUACUUUAUUACUGCACAGAGUAUUUACACCCAUAACAGCUGAGAGGUGCCAAGAGGAAAGCCAGUCCAGAACACUAACAGAGUAGUGCUCCUUCCAUACACCUCAGCAGGAAUGAGAUGGAUGAGCAUGAUUAUAAAUAAUGCCAAUGACUAAACUUGACAUGAGCUACAGUUACCUCUGAAGUAUAGUAGGAGACAGCAAGUGGAGAGGGAGUGGUAUAUCCAUGUCAGUACAGCAAGUAUGUAUAAUCAGUAUAUAUGUAAUUGGGAAGUACAAAACAUAUUACAACCUACCAAUUAAUGUUAUAUACAUUCAUUGUUUAGUAUGCUAUAAACCUGUCUAUACAUAACUAGAUGGGAAAAGAGAGAGAGAGAGAGAGAGAGAGAGAGAGAGAGAGAGAGAGAGAGAGAGAGAGAGAGAGAGAGAGAGAGAGAGAGAGAGAGAGAGAGAGAGAGAGAGAGAGAGA